rnacentral:rRNA from 1 species
UACGGGGGGGCAAGCGUUGUUCGGAAUUACUGGGCGUAAAGGGCUCGUAGGUGGCCAACUAAGUCAGACGUGAAAUCCCUCAGCUUAACUGGGGAACUGCGUCUGAGACUGGCGAGCUCGAGUGCAGGAGAGGAACGCGGAAUUCCAGGUGUAGCGGUGAAAUGCGUAGAUAUCUGGAGGAACACCGGUGGCGAAGGCGGCGUUCUGGACUGCAACUGACACUGAGGAACGAAAGCCAGGGUAGCAAACGGG